rnacentral:tRNA from 1 species
GCGCCGGUAGUGUAAUGGCGUAGAGCGUUCCCGCUUAGUCAAGAGGAAGCGCGGGUUCGAGUCCCGCCGGGCGCU